rnacentral:rRNA from 1 species
GUCUAUGGCCACAAAACCCUGAACUUGCCAGAUCUCAUCUGAUUUGGGAAGCUAAGCAGGGUCGGGUCUAGUUAGAACUUGUAUGGGAGACCACCCUGAGAACCAAGUGCUGUGGGCU